AGCCUCUCAGGUCAGGAAAAUAGUGCAGUGCCUAGUCCUUGCAAUUUCAGAAAGAUCAAUAUGCCUUUGUCCCCAAAAAAAAAAAACAUUGCGAAACCUGAACUUUGCCGAGACAUGCAUCAGAGGCAGAACGAAGACCGAAAUGAAGGAGCCAAUUCAUGGCCUCAUCCAUGGAGACAGAACCCCAUUCCGCUUCUAGACCGUUCAUUGAUGCGAAUUGCGAAUGCGACGCGCUGCGAGUUCGAACUACACGGCUUCCCCCAACUCGCUUUCGAAUCGCGUGACAUCACUGGCCUAGCCUAACCCCCCCUUUUUUGUUUUUGUUUUUGUCGUUGCAGGAGAAUUCAAGAUAAGGAGGGAGGGCUGGAGAAGGAAGGAGGAAUUUCUGACCUGCUGCUGGCUGCUGCUUUGGUGGAUGGGGAUGGGG
rnacentral:lncRNA from 1 species